rnacentral:rRNA from 1 species
UACGUAGGGUGCGAGCGUUGUCCGGAAUUAUUGGGCGUAAAGAGCUUGUAGGCGGUUUGUCGCGUCUGCCGUGAAAAUCCGGGGCUCAACCCCGGACUUGCGGUGGGUACGGGCAGACUAGAGUGUGGUAGGGGAGACUGGAAUUCCUGGUGUAGCGGUGAAAUGCGCAGAUAUCAGGAGGAACACCGGUGGCGAAGGCGGCGGUCUGGGUUGACACUGACGCUGAGGCGCGAAAGCGUGGGGAGCAAACAGG